UACGUAGGGGGCUAGCGUUGUCCGGAAUCAUUGGGCGUAAAGCGCGUGUAGGCGGCCCGGUAAGUCCGCUGUGAAAGUCCAGGGCUCAACCCUGGGAUGCCGGUGGAUACUGUCGGGCUCGAGUCCGGAAGAGGCGAGUGGAAUUCCCGGUGUAGCGGUGAAAUGCGCAGAUAUCGGGAGGAACACCAAUGGCGAAGGCAGCUCGCUGGGACGUGACUGACGCUGAGACGCGAAAGCGUGGGGAGCAAACAGGG
rnacentral:rRNA from 1 species